GCUAACGAUUCAUCGGUGACUCGAUCACUUGAGUUUUAUUUUACUGUGUUUAUAUUGUUUGGGGAGAGUGUGUGUUCUGUCCAUGGAUAACGGUUUAGAUGUAAAACAACAUGCGUGAGUUUAAAAGAUCUGUGUGUUCCUGUAGGUGUUGGCGAGACGUAACCAUCUGAUCAAUAGGAUCAAUAUGUUAUUCCAGCAGCUGUGUUCCUGUAGGUGUUGGCAGCUCAGGCGCAGAGACGAGCGACUCUGAUUGCAAUCAUCCGUGAUCUAAGGCAGCAACUUCAGCGCAUAGGGUUCAUUACGCACCGGUUUCACUGACUGCAUUUAACGUGCAGCCGAGAUGGAGGACAUGGUGACGGAAGGUGAGCUGCAUGAUGGCAGGCUGAUCGCCGAUCAGAAGGUACUACACUGAAAUACUCCACCCCGGUCAGAGUAACUCUUCUGCACUGUAGCAUUGUAGAUAGAAGUUGUUUUAGUUUGAGAUGGCGUCGUCACCCUCAGGUUCGAGUUUAAAGCAGAAGAAGCGUUACAGGAACUUGUAAUUAAUAUCUCACUGUGACCCGAAAGCUGCUUGUUGGAUGUUUAAUGUAAGAUUAGAAAGUUCAGCUGGUUUAUCUCCUCUCAGG